CACAUUGCAAGUUAGUUCUUUAACAUAAUGUAUUUUGGGGGAACACAUAUCAAUCCAUAAUACCUUGGAUCAAAGUUCUCCUAAAUGGGACAACUUCAAAAAGUGGCCCUUUUGGUCAAAACAGCUACCACUAUUCAUAACACAGAAAUUAUGUUGUCAAAGGAAUUAUCCCAUGAUUCACUGAAGAAAACAUCGAGUUCUUGUGAGUCACAAAGAAAAUGGUGACCUUGGAGCAAGAGAUGGUCAAAUAUGCUUGGCCUUGCCGAACCUUCCUAGCACGGGAACUGAGAGAUGAUGAAGAGGAUUUUUGAACCUCCCUGGCUACUGCAGUUCCUAACUGUUCUGAAACUUCACAUCACUGUGUGACUCAACCAAAUCCUCGAUAACCAACUCCUUCGGGAUUCUAAGGACAAACACUCUUUUCUUGAGGUACAAUUAACUCUUCAAAAACCUCCCACUCUGGGCCUUACCUAAUUAUCACACGUUUGUCUAAUUAUAUAUAAUAUGAGAUAUUUGAACAAGGCUUGAGUGUUCUGACCCAACUUUUUGUGAAUCAUCAGAUCCCAACAGCAUACUACAGUUUCUCUCUUGACCUGGUGGCAAAAGUCUACUCCCCUUGCUUGGGGCACUAGCACAACCGCUAAACUAGUGGAGGCUCUAUAACUUCUUUUUUUAGCAUCUCCUUCAAAUGGAAAUCCCUCUGGGGGGCGGGAUUCUUUGUUGCGCAUUGAAAAUAAACAACAUCUCUCUGCAAGUAGGCUUAUCUCC
rnacentral:lncRNA from 1 species